rnacentral:snoRNA from 1 species
AUACCGGGGUGUGGGCAUUUCUUAAUAAGCGAUUUGAAGUGUUCCCAUGCUUCAUAUAAAUUCUCACCUUCGAAUUGCUUAAAAUUAGCAAUGUCGCGCCU